CCUCUCUCAGUGCCACCACCCUCAAGGCAGAGGACUUCAACCGCAGAGGUCUGUGUGAGCUGUACAUCGCCAGGGAGAGCCUUGGGUCUUUCACCUACAGCAUGAUUGCCCAGAAGAACUCCUCCAUUCUGCCCGCUAUCAACGCCAGGGUGCAAGCGGUACUGGAGUCCGGCCUGUAUAACCACUGGGUACAGCAGGGCUUCGCCAAUGGCACAGCGUGUGACUCAGCACCAUCCACCGUCACAGUGCACCAAUCAUUCUCUUUAGCCAGUCUCUGGGUACGUAAAUAUUAACCUCACAGCCAUUCUAGGAAUAGUAUUGUAGGUAAUGUUUGUAUUACCAGGUGUGUCGAAAAGCAGCAAUCACUCAGGUCAGUUACAAAAAUAUAAAAGAUGGACGAAGUAGGGUAUAUAGUAAAAAUUCAGGAAAGAAAGCCAGGGACAAAUACGCUGAAAACACAGGUUUGUGUCUCAUAGCUGUUCCCUUCAAACCUGUCCCCACCAAGUGCUGAACAACCGAGCGAGCUGUAAUCAUGCCUCUUACUCUUUGUGAAGCGUCUAAAUAGUUUUAUCCUUAAAACAUGAGAAAGUAUCAUGAUCCUUCCUGAUUUUCUGUGACGUCAACCUCAAUGGGUGACUUUCCUAAAAAGUCUCUCCUCUCUCAGGCAGUGUUCGCGGUGCUCGGGGUCGGACUGGCGUCUGGGCUCCUCGUCUUCCUUCUCGAGAUGACAGUCUGCCGCAGCGCCCCUUCCUCCGCCGCCUUCUGCUGCAAGAGAUGCUGAAGAACGAUCAUGAGACUAAAUUUCAGAUGAAUGGCUACAACAAUGUCUAUGAGCCACCUAUUUAUACUGGGUAGCAGAAGAGCAAUGUCUGUGACCGCCUCUGCACACCGGGCAAAAGAGGAGCAAGCUGAGAGGAACAGGGGCUUUAGGGUUAGGCGUAAGCAAUUUUUGAAAGUUGCCGGAACAAGUGUAAGAUUAUGUAGUGUUGAGGUCUACAGAAUUGCAUUCAUAGAAAAGGUUAGAAAAACAACUAGGAUGAAAGUGAGCUAAGGCCUUGGUAAGUUCUGAUAUUACGACCAACCCUUUAAGAAAUUGACAGAUCCCGCAGGGACGCCACAGAAUGCCUGACUUCUGAUCUU